rnacentral:rRNA from 1 species
GCAGGGAAACAGAUAGACCCACGAAGUCUUGUUGGUUAAUGUGUUCAAUCAUUGUUGGUAUUAUGCAUGGGAUCAUCUAUGAGGAUUCGAUGAAGUAAAAUUCAUCUUCCUUAUACCCAACUGAUGUCCAACCAAUGAUCCAUUUCACAUUACCACACUGGAGCUCUGACCUCUAGACAGUUGAGAUGUAUAUAGUGUUGUUCUUAGUGUUAGUAUACUGUAUAGCUUCUGUCAAAAGUUGCUACUAUACUUAGCUUUGAACAUGAUCUAUACAUCUAUCGUUUAGAGGGUGAUCAAUAACACUCUUAACGAGUGUUGUCAGAUUGGUUGUAUGCAUGGGCGGUUGAAUUGAGCUUAUCACUCUUUAUGCCUAUCGACUCUUGUAGUUGAUUUCAUUUAGAGUAACGGUACUCACUUGACUUCCCCUCUGUAUACAGCAUGACAAU